GUAGGUGGCAAGCGUUGUCCGGAAUUAUUGGGCGUAAAGCGCGCGCAGGCGGUUCUUUAAGUCUGAUGUGAAAGCCCACGGCUCAACCGUGGAGGGUCAUUGGAAACUGGAGAACUUGAGUACAGUAAAAAAAAAACGGAAUUCCACGUACAACAAUAAAAUGCGUAGAGAUGUGGAGGAACACCAGUGGCGAAGGCGGCUUUCUGGUCUGUAACUGACGCUGAGGCGCGAAAGCGUGGGGAGCAAACAGGAUUAGAUACCCUGGUAGUCCACGCCGUAAACGAUGAGUGCUAAGUGUUAGGGGGUUUCCGCCCCUUAGUGCUGCAGCUAACGCAUUAAGCACUCCGCCUGGGGAGUACGGCCGCAAGGCUG
rnacentral:rRNA from 1 species